rnacentral:rRNA from 1 species
GCGAGCUUGCCUAGAUGAAUUUGGUGCUUGCACCAAAUGAAACUAGAUACAAGCGAGCGGCGGACGGGUGAGUAACACGUGGGUAACCUGCCCAAGAGACUGGGAUAACACCUGGAAACAGAUGCUAAUACCGGAUAACAACACUAGACGCAUGUCUAGAGUUUAAAAGAUGGUUCUGCUAUCACUCUUGGAUGGACCUGCGGUGCAUUAGCUAGUUGGUAAGGUAACGGCUUACCAAGGCAAUGAUGCAUAGCCGAGUUGAGAGACUGAUCGGCCACAUUGGGACUGAGACACGGCCCAAACUCCUACGGGAGGCAGCAGUAGGGAAUCUUCCACAAUGGACGCAAGUCUGAUGGAGCAACGCCGCGUGAGUGAAGAAGGGUUUCGGCUCGUAAAGCUCUGUUGGUAGUGAAGAAAGAUAGAGGUAGUAACUGGCCUUUAUUUGACGGUAAUUACUUAGAAAGUCACGGCUAACUACGUGCCAGCAGCCGCGGUAAUACGUAGGUGGCAAGCGUUGUCCGGAUUUAUUGGGCGUAAAGCGAGUGCAGGCGGUUCAAUAAGUCUGAUGUGAAAGCCUUCGGCUCAACCGGAGAAUUGCAUCAGAAACUGUUGAAC